UAGUUCUGGCAUCGAUGAAGAACGCAGCGAAAUGCGAUAAGUAAUGUGAAUUGCAGAAUUCCGUGAAUCAUCGAAUCUUUGAACGCAUAUUGCGCCCGCCAGUAUUCUGGCGGGCAUGCCUGUUCGAGCGUUAUUUUAACCCUCAAGCCCCUGGGCUUGGUGUUGGGGCUCGGCCCGUCCCUAGCGGCGGCGCCGUCCCCUAAAUUUAUUGGCGGUCUCGCUGCAGCCUCCUCUGCGUAGUAGCUAAUACCUCGCAACGGGAACUCAGCGCGGCCACGCCGUUAAACCCCCCAACUUCUGAAAGGUUGACCUCGGAUCAGGUAGGAAUACCCGCUGA
rnacentral:misc_RNA from 1 species